rnacentral:rRNA from 1 species
AUUGAACGCUGGCGGCAGGCCUAACACAUGCCAGUCGAACGGUAACAGGAAACAGCUUGCUGUUUCGCUGACGAGUGGCGGACGGGUGAGUAAUGUCUGGGAAACUGCCUGAUGGAGGGGGAUAACUACUGGAAACGGUAGCUAAUACCGCAUAACGUCGCAAGACCAAAGAGGGGGACCUUCGGGCCUCUUGCCAUCAGAUGUGCCCAGAUGGGAUUAGCUAGUAGGUGGGGUAACGGCUCACCUAGGCGACGAUCCCUAGCUGGUCUGAGAGGAUGACCAGCCACACUGGAACUGAGACACGGUCCAGACUCCUACGGGAGGCAGCAGUGGGGAAUAUUGCACAAUGGGCGCAAGCCUGAUGCAGCCAUGCCGCGUGUAUGAAGAAGGCCUUCGGGUUGUAAAGUACUUUCAGCGGGGAGGAAGGGAGUAAAGUUAAUACCUUUGCUCAUUGACGUUACCCGCAGAAGAAGCACCGGCUAACUCCGUG